UUCUCAGUUGGCUAUUUUCUCAAUCUCGUCCAAAUCAUCUGUGUCCAAUCUUUCUAUCUUCUUAUCUGGGGGGAAAAAAUACACAGGUCUCUGCCCUGCCUAGGCACAUCCACACCUCGGGCCAUAGCAGCCUUCACGUAGCCCCAAAGGCUCCCAGUGCCUGAGCAGGGGCAAUAGGGCCCCGGUCACUGACGGCAACAGUCAGAGCCACGGGGGCAGUGCCAUUUGAGUCCCUGCCCCCUGAACCCUCCGGGUGUGCUCCCUGAGCACUUCCAUACAGUAGGAAAGGUGCGGGGGGGGGGGGGGGGGGGGCGGCGUGUGCUCAGGGACAACGGCCUCUCUCGGGGCUACAGGAAAACCUGCCCCUUUCCCAAGCCCUGCUCCUCAGGAAAGGGUGCUGGGCCGCGGACCCUCCCAGGGACUCACUAAAAUGCUCCUGGAUCCGGUUCAGGAUGUUCAUGCUGUGCUUGCUGUCCACCAUGUUCACGGCCAGGCCCCUCUUGCCAAAGCGGCCGGUGCGUCCGAUCCGGUGCAGGUAGGUCUCGUUGUCCGGGUUCCCGUCCUUGUCCACGGGAAGAUCAAAGUUGAUGACGACAGAGACUUGUUCCACGUCGAUGCCUGCGUGAAGGAGAGUGGGAAACACAGAGGACUGAGGACGGCAGACAAAAACCAUCAUUGUCCACAGGUGCAGUGAAUUAUGGCAGCAGUGAGAAAGCCUCUGGUAGGCACAAGUAUCUGGAGCUGGGUGCCCAGGAAGAGCAGACUCCAUCCUCUACCAGUCAGAUGCCCGUACGUUUCCUUCCACAAGGCAGACUCCUGGCUUCUGUGGCCUGGGACCCUGAGCCUAGCAGACAAAAACACACUGUCUGCUCACCGCGGGCACACACAUUGGUGGUCACCAGAACUUUCUCUUUGCCCUCUCGGAAGCGCUCAAUCACUGCAGCCCU